rnacentral:rRNA from 1 species
ACCGAUGGGAUCCCUUCGGGGUGAACUUGGUGCUGACGAGUAGCGAACGGGUGAGUAACGCGUGGGAAUCUGCCCUAUAGGUGGGGGAUAAGCCAGGGAAACUUGGUCUAAUACCGCAUAAUCUCUACGGAGGAAAGCGGGGGAUCUUCGGACCUCGCACUAUUGGAUGAGCCCACGUUAGAUUAGCUUGUUGGUGGGGUAAAGGCCUACCAAGGCGACGAUCUAUAGCUGGUCUGGGAGGAUGAUCAGCCACACUGGGACUGAGACACGGCCCAGACUCC